rnacentral:rRNA from 1 species
GAUGAACGCUGGCGGCGUGCCUAAUACAUGCAAGUCGAGCGAACGGACGAGAAGCUUGCUUUUCUGAUGUUAGCGGCGGACGGGUGAGUAACACGUGGAUAACCUACCUAUAAGACUGGGAUAACUUCGGGAAACCGGAGCUAAUACCGGAUAAUAUUUUGAACCGCAUGGUUCAAAAGUGAAAGACGGUCUUGCUGUCACUUAUAGAUGGAUCCGCGCUGCAUUAGCUAGUUGGUAAGGUAACGGCUUACCAAGGCGACGAUGCAUAGCCGACCUGAGAGGGUGAUCGGCCACACUGGAACUGAGACACGGUCCAGACUCCUACGGGAGGCAGCAGUAGGGAAUCUUCGGCAAUGGGCGAAAGCCUGACGGAGCAACGCCGCGUGAGUGAUGAAGGUCUUCGGAUCGUAAAACUCUGUUAUUAGGGAAGAACAUAUGUGUAAGUAACUGUGCACAUCUUGACGGUACCUAAUCAGAAAGCCACGGCUAACUACGUG